GAUGAACGCUGGCGGCGUGCCUAAUACAUGCAAGUCGAGCGAACAGACGAGGAGCUUGCUCCUCUGACGUUAGCGGCGGACGGGUGAGUAACACGUGGAUAACCUACCUAUAAGACUGGGAUAACUUCGGGAAACCGGAGCUAAUACCGGAUAAUAUAUUGAACCGCAUGGUUCAAUAGUGAAAGACGGUUUUGCUGUCACUUAUAGAUAGAUCCGCGCCGCAUUAGCUAGUUGGUAAGGUAACGGCUUACCAAGGCAACGAUGCGUAGCCGACCUGAGAGGGUGAUCGGCCACACUGGAACUGAGACACGGUCCAGACUCCUACGGGAGGCAGCAGUAGGGAAUCUUCCGCAAUGGGCGAAAGCCUGACGGAGCAACGCCGCGUGAGUGAUGAAGGUCUUCGGAUCGUAAAACUCUGUUAUUAGGGAAGAACAAAUGUGUAAGUAACUAUGCACGUCUUGACGGUACCUAAUCAGAAAGCCACGGCUAACUCCGUG
rnacentral:rRNA from 1 species